UCGUUCUGAAAAUUCAGGUUA
rnacentral:piRNA from 1 species